rnacentral:rRNA from 1 species
AGCGAACGCUGGCGGCAGGCCUAAUACAUGCAAGUCGAACGGUCUCUUCGGAGGCAGUGGCGGACGGGUGAGUAACGCGUGGGAAUAUGCCCUUUUGGUACGGAACAACUGAGGGAAACUUCAGCUAAUACCGUAUGUGCCCUUCGGGGGAAAGAUUUAUCGCCAUUGGAGUAGCCCGCGUUGGAUUAGGUAGUUGGUGGGGUAAAGGCCUACCAAGCCUACGAUCCAUAGCUGGUCUGAGAGGAUGAUCAGCCACACUGGGACUGAGACACGGCCCAGACUCCUACGGGAGGCAGCAGUAGGGAAUCUUGCGCAAUGGGCGAAAGCCUGACGCAGCCAUGCCGCGUGAAUGAUGAAGGUCUUAGGAUUGUAAAAUUCUUUCACCGGGGAAGAUAAUGACGGUACCCGGAGAAGAAGCCCCGGCUAACUUCGUG